UGUCUAUGUUAUAUUUUUCACCAUAUGGCAUAUGAAUUGCAUGGUAUGUUAACUGGUGAUGUUAGUUUGAUAACUGGGGAGAAGGUCAUGCCAGCAUAUGGAGGAGGAUUUGAGUCUUUUCUUAAUAACGUAGUUACCCCCAUAUACAGGGUUAUUUAUGAGGAAGCUGAGAAAAACAAAAGCGGGACAGCUGAUCAUUCUACAUGGAGAAACUAUGAUGAUCUAAAUGAGUAUUUCUGGUCACCUGACUGUUUCCAAAUAGGUUGGCCCAUGCGUCUGGAUCAUGAAUUUUUCUGUGUACAGGCUUCAAAUAAACACAAAGUUAAGAAAACUGCAGAUGAAAAGAAGAAGAGAGAAGCCAAAGAAGAUGAAGAAUUGGGACUAAACAGAGACGAAGAGCUUAGGGCUCCUAGAAAUGACCAUCAUGAACCAAGAUGGCUAGGGAAGACAAAUUUUGUAGAGAUUCGCUCAUUUUGGCAAAUUUUUAGGAGCUUUGAUAGAAUGUGGAGCUUUUUUAUCCUAUCCCUUCAGGCAAUGAUAAUUAUGGCUUGCCAUGAUUUGGGGUCUCCACUUGAAAUGCUUGAUGCAAUAAUAUUUGAAGACGUCAUGAGUGUCUUCAUUACAUGUGCAAUUCUUAAACUUAUACAAGCAAUUCUUGAUAUUGUCUUCACAUGGAAAGCCAGAUUCACAAUGGAUAUCUCCAGGAAAAGAAAGUUGUUAUUGAAGCUACUUGUUGCAAUCAUAUGGACUAUUGUUCUUCCUGUAUAUUAUGCUAAAUCUAGAAAGAAAUACGCCUGUUAUUCCACACAAUAUGGAAGUUGGCUUGGUCAACUGUGUUUCUCUUCCUACAUGGUUGCAGUUGCAAUUUACUUGAUGACUAAUGCAAUUGAGAUGGUCUUAUUUUUCGUUCCUGUAGUCAGCAAAUAUAUCGAGAUAUCAAAUAAUCGCAUAUGUAAAACUUUGUCUUGGUGGACACAGCCAAGAUUAUAUGUUGGACGUGGGAUGCAAGAAACCCAAAUUUCAGUUUUCAAGUAUAGCAUACUCCUUUCUCUGUCGCAUUUUUUUUUAAUUACGUUGUUUGUUUUAUAAAAACUUCCCUAAUGUGAAACUUCUUAUCAUGUAGAUAUACAUUAUUUUGGGUAUUGGUACUAUUGAGCAAAUUUUUAUUCAGUUACUGUUUUGAGGUGAGUGGUUUUGUGGUUGCUUCCUUAUUAAGUUCUAAUAUAAAAGGUAUGGAUCUGCGUUUUCACUGAAAACCAAAAUUUUAAGGCAUAAAGAAUAUUGAAUCAUUACGAUUGCAUAAUAUUUUGAGCUCCGCAUUAGAAAGAAAGAAAUAAACAAGAUAAGUUGAACUAAGCUCUACAUCUUUUUCAUUGUCAUGAGAAGAAAACUUGAGUUGAUACCUGUCAUGAGAAGAAAACUUGAGUUGAUACCUGUCAUGGGAAGAAAACUUGAGUUGGUACCUCUCAAACAUAUUGGAAAGCAAAAUGCAUGGUUCUACAUAUUCAUUAUCUUCAUUAAGAAAUCUAACUAAUUACAAAAAUUUAUUUUGGCUUAAUGAAAUAAAAUUUCAUCAAAUAUAUAUCUAUACAUAAGGACUAAUUAUGUUUUAUAUUGCAUACGUAAUUAGCCAUAUAAAAUGUUAUUUUAGUUCUUUCUAUUAAGGACACGUUCUUUAUUAAUUGCUUGGGAAAUUUCUACAUUUAUUUCUGUCCAUUCUUCCUUCUUCCACUUUGUCUUUCUAAGCUGAAGGAAAUAUUAGUAUAUUAUAUUAGUGAAGCACUGUUUAGUAGCAUUGGGUCUCUACGGGCAGUGCCUUGCACAUGGGUACAAUUUGUAUUGAGUGAAGCCUUUGUGCAGUAGCAGCAUCUUACUUGUUUACUGUAUUUGGACUUUUUUUUUAAUGUUCUUGGUCAAAUAUUUUUUUUGAUUUUGGAAUCUGUGUUUUUGUAGAUUUGAAUGGAAGAAACUAGAAACUAUAAACAAGAAGGAUUAAAAAAACCAUUUCUCUUUACAGUUUACACUCAACGUACUAAAUUAUUAUCUUAAAAAUGCGUAAAACAUAGCCUGCUGCCCUUUAAAAUGCAAAAUACUUGGUAAUUUGUUGCUGCAGCAAUGUCUUUCUAUGAUUAGAAUUUGACAAUGAAAUUCUUGCUGUGAGUUAAAAAAAUACAGAUCAAACCACUCAUUGGACCAACAAGACUAAUCCUGAAAAUUGGUGUGCAAAAUUAUGACUGGCAUGAGCUUUUCCCAAAAGUAAAGAGUAAUGCAGGGGCAAUUGUUGCUAUAUGGGCUCCAAUUAUUGUUGUGUAUUUCAUGGACACACAGAUAUGGUAUUCUGUGUUCUGUGCAAUCUUUGGUGGACUUUAUGGCAUAAUACAUCAUCUUGGAGAGAUUCGGACAUUGGGAAUGCUAAGAAGUAGAUUUCACACUUUACCUUCUGCAUUCAAUGUUUGCCUAAUCCCGCCCUCAGCAAAAAAUGAUCAGAAAACAGAAGGAAGCAAUUUCUUUCGCAAUAGAUUUCACAAGGUGUCUGAAACUAGAUCUAAUGCUUUUUCCAAGUUUGUUCUCGUAUGGAACCAAAUAAUCAAUACUUUCCGGCUAGAGGACUUGAUAAGCAACAGGGAAUUGGAUUUAAUGAAAAUACCUAUGUCUUCAGAGCUAUUUUCUAACAUGGUUCGCUGGCCUAUUUUUCUCUUGGCAAAUAAGUUUUCAACAGCAAUAAGCAUUACAAGAGAUUUUGUAGGAAAGGAUGAUAUUCUUCUGAGAAAGAUAAAAAAAGACAAGUACAUGUACAGUGCUGUGAAAGAGUGCUAUGAGUCACUCAAGUACGUACUUGAAAUUCUCAUAGUAGGCAAUCUGGAGAAAAGGUACAGCAAACGUCUUUUGAUUAAACCUAAUUCAAUUUGAGAAUGUUGGAUGUAGAUUCAGAUUAGUUGUCAAAUUUUGUGGUAAAAACUAUUAAUGUUGUUAGGCAAUUGCAAUUCAGAGGUAUGGAUUUUGUUCCACUUUCUUCUUUAUUUUAGCACAUAAUAUUAUUUGAUCCUUGCUUUUUAGGGUUGUGUCCUGUUUACUAAAUGAAAUCGAAGGAAGCAUCGGAAGAUCAAGUCUUCUUGAGGAUUUUAAGAUGAGUGAGCUUCCAGUUCUACUAGCAAAAUGCACUGAACUAGUUGAACUUCUGGUAACUAUGUCUAUAACCCUGAAAAGCUAAAGUGGUAAUAAUGAAUUUGCAAUCAUUUUACAAGUUCUUGAGACCCUAGUGAUUGUUGUAUGACUGUUUUUUUGCUGAGGUCGAGGGAAAUGAAAACCAGCAUGGUAAUGUGGUGAGAGUUCUCCAAGAUAUGUUUGAGCUUGUAACAAAUGAUAUAAUGACAAAUAGUUCAAGAAUAUUGGAUUUGCUCUCUCCUCAACAGGUGGAAGACAGUUUUGCUUAUUUUUCCCGAACAAUUGAACCACAAUUAUUUGAAUCGGCUGAUGAUAGUUCUAUCAAUUUUCCAUUGCCAGAUACUUCAGAUACUCGUCUUCUCAAUGAGCAGGUUAAGCGUCUUCAUUUGUUGCUUACAGUGAAAGAUAAAGCCAUGGACAUACCUGCUAAUUUAGAAGCUCGGAGGCGUAUUUCAUUCUUUGCUACUUCACUUUUUACUGAUAUGCCCAUUGCUCCCAAAAUACGCAAUAUGCUGUCUUUCAGUGUCAUGACUCCACACUACAUGGAAGAUAUUAAUUAUUCAAUGAAGGAGCUCAAUUCAAGCAAAGAAGAGGUUUCCAUCUUAUUUUAUAUGCAGAAAAUAUAUCCAGAUGAGUGGAAAAACUUUCUGGAGCGCAUGGAUUGUGAAUAUUCAGAUGUAUUAAAAGAUGAAAGCAAAAAGGAAGAGCUGAGAAAUUGGGCUUCUUUCAGGAGUCAAACAUUAAGUAGAACAGUUAGAGGAAUGAUGUACUAUCGAGAAGCCUUAAGAGUUCAGGCAUUUCUGGAUAUGGCUAAGGAUGAAGAAAUUGUUCGAGGUUUAGACGGAGCUGAAAGAAAUAAUCCUGCAUUAUUUGCUCAAUUAGAUGCACUAGCAGACUUAAAAUUCACCUAUAUCAUUUCUUGUCAAAUAUAUGGAUCACAAAAGUCCUCUGGAGAUCCUCAUGCGAAUGACAUUCUUGAAUUAAUGAAAAGGUACGCAUCUGUCCGUGUUGCUUACGUUGAGGAGAAAGAAGAGAUUGUGAACGAUAAACCACGAAAGGUUUAUUCUUCUAUAUUGGUGAAAGCUGUCGAUGGUCUCGAUCAGGAAAUUUAUCGGAUAAAGCUCCCUGGUCCACCAAAUAUUGGGGAAGGGAAACCCGAAAAUCAAAAUCAUGCCAUAAUUUUCACGCGUGGUGAAGCUCUUCAGACUAUUGAUAUGAACCAGGACAAUUAUUUGGAAGAAGCUUUUAAAAUGAGAAACCUUCUACAAGAAUUUUUUCAGCAGCAAGGGCGGCGGCCCCCAACUAUACUUGGCUUAAGGGAACACAUAUUCACUGGAAGUGUUUCUUCUCUAGCUUGGUUCAUGUCAUAUCAAGAGACGAGCUUUGUCACCAUUGGUCAAAGGCUUAUUGCCAACCCUCUCAGGGUACGUUUCCACUAUGGACACCCUGAUGUAUUUGACAGGUUAUUUCACAUCACAAGAGGUGGCAUAAGCAAAGCAUCAAAAACAAUAAACUUGAGUGAGGACGUAUUUGCUGGGUUUAAUUCUACCUUACGACGGGGCUGUAUCACUUACCACGAGUACCUCCAAGUUGGUAAGGGGCGUGAUGUAGGCCUAAAUCAGAUCUCAAAGUUUGAAGCCAAAGUAGCUAAUGGAAACAGCGAACAAACUCUAAGUCGUGACAUAUACCGACUUGGACAAUGGUUUGACUUUUUCCGGAUGCUAUCUUGUUACUUCACAACCAUUGGAUUUUACUUCAGUAACUUGGUAAUUUGUUUGCACUUCAAUUGAUCUCUUUUUUAAUAUAAAAUGGUUUCUUUUCAAUUGUAUCGAACAGUUGCAAUCGAUGAGCCAGACCAAUUUUAUACAUCUUGUACUGUGUUUGGUUAAAAAUAUAGAAUUAUCGUAUUUAUGCAUUGGAAUGUCUUUUUAUUCAUACCAUUCCCAUUCAAUGAUUAACUUAAAAUUCUUCUGCAAGAAUCUACAGAUAUCAGUAAUUGGAAUUUAUGUGUUCCUCUACGGGCAGCUAUACCUUGUCUUAAGUGGGCUUCAGAAAACGCUAGUCCUUGAGGCUAGAAUGCAUAAUAUACAGUCACUGGAAACAGCUCUUGCCUCUCAAUCAUUUAUCCAGCUUGGGCUUCUAACUGGCUUACCUAUGGUGAUGGAGAUUGGACUUGAGAAAGGAUUUCUCACAGCCUUCAAAGAUUUUAUUCUCAUGCAAUUGCAGUUAGCUGCUGUUUUCUUCACUUUCUCACUUGGAACAAAGAUUCAUCAUUAUGGUAGAACAAUUUUGUAUGGGGGUGCGAAGUACAGACCUACUGGGCGUAAGGUUGUGGUGUUUCAUGCUAGCUUUACUGAGAAUUACCGAUUGUACUCCCGAAGCCACUUUGUCAAAGGAUUCGAACUAGUGCUCCUUUUAAUUGUUUAUGAUUUGUUCAGGCGGUCCUACCAGAGCAGUAUGGCAUAUGUAUUGAUUACUUAUUCAAUUUGGUUCAUGUCAAUAACUUGGUUAUUUGCGCCAUUUCUAUUUAAUCCUUCUGGAUUCAGUUGGGACAAAAUAGUGGAUGACUGGAAAGACUGGAAUAAAUGGAUCAGGGAGCAAGGUGGUAUAGGAAUUCAACAGGACAAAAGUUGGCAAUCUUGGUGGAAUGAUGAACAAGAACAUCUCCGCCGUUCAGGACUGGGUGCUAGAUUUUUUGAGAUACUCCUUUCUGUUCGAUUUUUCAUGUACCAAUAUGGUUUGGUGUAUCACCUCGACAUCUCACAACAUAGCAAAAAUUUUUUAGUUUAUCUGCUUUCAUGGGUUGUGAUUCUUGCAGUUUUUCUAUUGUUCAAGGCUGUCAACAUGGGAAGGCAGCAAUUCAGUGCUAAUUACCACCUUGUUUUCAGACUUUUUAAGGCAUUUCUCUUCAUUGCUGUUGUGUCCAUUAUAAUUACUCUUUCACUUAUCUGUGAACUAUCCUUGAAGGACGUAAUUGUGUGUUGUCUGGCGUUUUUGCCCACUGGAUGGGGCUUGAUAUUGAUUGCUCAAGCUGUGAGACCCAAGAUAGAGAAUACAGGAGUAUGGGAGUUUACCCAAGUCCUUGCUAAGGCAUAUGAUUAUGGAAUGGGUGUUAUUCUUUUUGCACCUAUAGCUAUAUUUUCAUGGCUUCCAAUCAUAUCAGCCUUCCAGACUCGUUUUCUUUUCAAUGAAGCCUUCAACAGGCAUUUGCAAAUUCAACCUAUUCUUGCAGGGAAGAAGAAAAAGCAGUGAUAAUUUUUUCACUGCCCAUUGUGUUCAUGCUAUUAUUAUUUUGUAAUUUUGUGAAGUCAGUGUAGAACAGUUAGGAAAUAUCUCAAAAUUUAUAUUGUAUAUAGAAUGAUUACUAACAUAUAAAUAGAAAUAGAAGCUGAAAUACUGAGUUUCUUUAUUUAUUUAUAUAUUUAUUUGGGGUUCUGAUAAAGAUUCAAACUUCAAUAUCAAUAGUAGGUCGGGGUUCAUAGACAACUUAUUCUACUUCUGCUAAUUCUGGCAAUAAUAGAAGUAAAAUUUCAGUAACUUUGCUUGAAAUGAUUGUAGUUCAUCAUCCAUUGCAAUUCUUAUAUAUCCUCAACUAAAU
rnacentral:misc_RNA from 1 species